rnacentral:rRNA from 1 species
AUAUCAUUAAGCGGAGGAAAAGAAACUAACAAGGAUGCCCUUAGUAACGGCGAGUGAAGUGGGCAAAGCUCAAAUUGAAAAUCGGUUCCCCAUGCGGGGUUUCGAAUUGUAGUCUAUAGACGCGCUAUCAGCAGUGGCCCGGGUAUAAAUCUUUUGAAACAAGGUGUCAUAGAGGGUGAGAACCCCGUCCAUGACUCGGUGUCCGCUGCGUACGAUGCGUGUUCAAAGAGUCGGGUAGCUUGGGAUUGCUGCCCUAAGUGGGAGGUAAAUUUCUUCUAAAGCUAAAUAUUGACGAGAGACCGAUAGCGAACAAGUACCGUGAGGGAAAGAUGAAAAGAACUUUGAAAAGAGAGUUAAAAAGUACUUGAAAUUGUUAAGAGGGAAGCACUGGAAACCAGUAUUGCUGGGUGCAGUAUUCGCCUUUCGGUGGUUUGGAGGUGGUGCGCCGGGAGUUUAAACCUCGGUUGUAUUAUCGAAGGAUCGCCGGAGGGUCUAGCUGUAUCUAGUAGGUCAAAAUCAAUUUGCUUCGCGGGAGAAAGCUGUCGGGAAGAUAGGGCGGAGGGGCAACCCAAGGCCUGUUACAGCCUGACAGUGCUACCGUGGGGUGGAUUGAGGA